rnacentral:lncRNA from 1 species
ACAAGAGAAGGUGCAAAGGUGGUUAUUUGCAACGACAACGGAGUACAAAUGACAAGGAAUGUACAGGACAUCAAACGUGACUCAAGAAUUCCCAUUGAUUUGAAGGACAAUGUUCAAGAUGACGAUUUGAUGAAUAACGAUAAUGAAGAAGAAGGAAGAGGGAAAGACGAUCAAAAACACUCCGAAAUGCAAACUAACAACAAUAUACGUGACAAGAACCGGCAUCAGUGACAAGACCGGCAUCAGUCAAUUGAUCGAAGACCAGCAAGGGAAUCUCGAAAACCAGAAAAAUUCAAGGACAUGAUUUUAUAUAACAUUUUUUGCGAUGUGUAGGGGUAGUGAAGAAUGUAGGGAUUAUGAGAAGGGCAAAAGGAAAUAUAAUAGAAAAAGAUAGAAACAUAGAACAGAUUUGAAUGAGCGGAACGCGAAGUAAAGGGCUAUUGAAUCAAAGUAGGCUGUUAAGAAAAUUUGAAAUUUCGAGACUCAGUUUGUUGGUUUGGUUUGAAGGAUUAAAACGUGUUUUAGUAUAA